AGGCCAGUGCCUGGAUAGUCGUGCAUAGAAUAAUGGAAUAGGACCUCGGUUCUAUUUUGUUGGUUUUCGGAUCCCGAGGUAAUGAUUAAGAGGGACAGACGGGGGCAUUCGUAUUGCGGCGCUAUAGGUGAAAUUCUUGGACCGCUGCAAGACGAACUACUGCGAAAGCAUUUGCCAAGAAUGUUUUCAUUAAUCAAGAACGAAAGUUAGAGGUUCGAAGGCGAUCAGAUACCGCCCUAGUUCUAACCAUAAACGAUGCCAACCAGCGAUCCGCCCGAGUUCAUCAAACGACUCGGCGGGCAGCUUCCGGGAAACCAAAGUGUUUGGGUUCCGGGGGAAGUAUGGUUGCAAAGCUGAAACUUAAAGGAAUUGACGGAAGGGCACCACCAGGAGUGGAGCCUGCGGCUUAAUUUGACCCAACACGGGAAAACUUACCCGGCCCGGACACCGGAAGGAUUGACAGAUUAACAGCUCUUUCUUGAUUCGGUGGGUGGUGGUGCAUGGCCGUUCUUAGUUGGUGGAGCGAUUUGUCUGGUUAAUUCCGAUAACGAACGAGACUCUAGCCUGCUAACUAGACCCGCGACCCCCGGUGUCGCGAUGGGGUCUUCUUAGAGGGACAGGCGGCUCUUAGCCGCACGAAACAGAGCAAUAACAGGUCUGUGAUGCCCUUAGAUGUCCGGGGCCGCACGCGCGCUACACUGAAGGAAUCAGCAUGUGUCUACCCUGGUCCGAGAGGACCGGGUAACCCUGUGAACCUCCUUCGUGAUGGGGAUAGGGGAUUGUAAUUGUUCCCCUCGAACGAGGAAUUCCCAGUAAGCGCGAGUCAUCAGCUCGCGUUGAUUACGUCCCUGCCCUUUGUACACACCGCCCGUCGCUACUACCGAUUGAAUGAUUUAGUGAGGUCUUUGG
rnacentral:rRNA from 1 species